CUUCUAGCAUAAGUGAUGGUGCAGCAGCAUUAGUGCUGGUGAGUGGGGAGAAGGCACUUCAACUAGGGUUGCAAGUGAUUGCAAAGAUCAAAGGAUUUGCUGAUGCAGCUCAGGCACCUGAAUUAUUCACAACUGCACCGGCCCUUGCAAUACAAAAA